AUUGAACGCUGGCGGCAGGCCUAACACAUGCAAGUCGAGCGAUCGGCGGACGGGUGAGGAAUGUAUGGGGACUGCCCGAAAGAGGGGGAAAACUACUGGAAACGGUAGCUAAUACCGCAAACUAUCGGAUGACCCAUAUGGGAUUAGCAAGUAGGUGAUGUAAUGGCUCACCUAGGCGACGACCCAUAGCUGGUCUGAGAGGCUGACCAGCCACACUGGGACUGAGCCACGGCCCAGACUCCUACGGAGGCAGCAGUGGGGAAUAUUGCACAAUGUGCGCAAGCCUGAUGCAGCCAUGCCGCGUGGAUGAAGAAGGCCCUAGGGUUGUAAAGUACUUUCCGUCGGGAGGCGUUACCGACAGAAGAAGCACCGGCUAACUCCGUGCCAGCAGCCGCGGUAAUUC
rnacentral:rRNA from 1 species